AGAGUUUGAUCCUGGCUCAGGACGAACGCUGGCGGCGUGCCUAAAACAUGCAAGUCGAACGGUGUAGCAAUACACAGUGGCGAACGGCGGAGUAAUACAUAAGCAACGUGCCCUGAAGACUGGGAUAGUCAGAGGAAACUCUGGGUAAUACUGGAUGUGGUCGCAACUCGGCAUCGAGAGGCGAUUAAAUGGUUUUUCGCUUCAGGAGCGGCUUAUGGCCUAUCAGGUAGUUGGUGGGGUAAUGGCCUACCAAGCCGACGACGGGUAGCGGGUCUGAGAGGAUGAUCCGCUCGAGUGGGACUGAGACACGGCCCACACACCUACGGGUGGCAGCAGUUGGGAAUCUUGCACAAUGGGGGAAACCCUGAUGCAGCGACGCCGCGUGGAGGAUGAAGGAUCUAGGUCUGUAAACUCCUUUUUCAGGGAAAGACUUAGGACGGUACCCUGAGAAUAAGGACCGGCUAACUACGUGCCAGCAGCCGCGGUAAGACGUAGGGUCCAAGCGUUGUCCGGAUUUACUGGGCGUAAAGAGCGCGUAGGCGGCUCGGUAAGUGUGAAGUGAAAUCUCUAGGGCUCAACCCAGAAACUGCUUUACAUACUGCCAAGCUGGAGUGAUGAAGAGGUUUGUGGAAUUCCUGGUGUAGCGGUGAAAUGCGUUGAUAUCAGGAGGAACACCCAUGGCGAAGGCAGCAAACUGGUCAUCAACUGACGCUGAGGCGCGAAAGCGUGGGUAGCAAACAGGAUUAGAUACCCUAGUAGUCC
rnacentral:rRNA from 1 species